GUGAUGGAGGGGUUGAUUGAGAAGGAGUUGAUGAAGGAGGAGUUGACUGAAGAGCUGAUGGAGGAGAUUGUGAAGAUGUCAGUGACUGCAGCAGUGUCUGUGAUGCCUGCUUUCUUUGUCAAUUUGUCACUGACAUCAAUGGAGCAGGGGGAGAGGGUGCCUUGAAUGGUGGAGAAGUGAAAGAAAAAGAUGAAGAGAAAUGCCUUCCUUCAUUGAAUGUGCUGGAGAAUGAAUAGAUUGAUGGAGAAGAGUAGAUGUGAGGAGGCAAAUGUGUUGUGGAAUAGACAUUUGUCUAUACCCCUGCACUCAAAAUGAGUGCCUGUAAUAUACAAGUACCAGAAGGAGUAUUGGGUGA
rnacentral:sRNA from 1 species